rnacentral:lncRNA from 1 species
UGAGAUUUGAUAUUGAAUAGAAUUUUGAUCCGAAGUCAUCAAUGUCUUCAACCAUUCCGUCCUCCCUCUCAUAUCUUGCUCGAAAUAGCAUGUCUGCUACUAAAUUAUCUUUCUUAGUAAUAUGCUUAAAUUCUGGAUUUAGUGACUUAAUAUAAGCAAUCCAUCUCAACAUUGCAAUAUCUGGCAUUGAACAGUUAAUAAUCAUUCCAAGCAAUGGCAAGCAAUCUGUUUCAAUUACUACUACUGCCCCAAUCAAAUAGUCCUUUUCAGCUUU